rnacentral:rRNA from 1 species
UGCAGCAGGCGCGAAAACUUUACAAUGCUGGCAACAGCGAUAAGGGGACCUCGAGUGCCAGGAUACAAUCUUGGCUGUCGUGAUGCCUAAAAAGCAUUACAUAGCAAGGGCCGGGCAAGACCGGUGCCAGCCGCCGCGGUAACACCGGCGGCUCGAGUGGUAACCGCUAUUAUUGGGUCUAAAGGGUCUGUAGCCGGCCGGAUAAGUCUCUUGGGAAAUCCAGCAGCUCAACUGUUGGGCUUCCAGGGGAUACUGUUCGGCUCGAGGCCGGGAGAGGUGAGAGGUACUUCAGGGGUAGGGGUGAAAUCUUGUAAUCCUUGAAGGACCACCAGUGGCGAAGGCGUCUCACCAGAACGGUCCUGACGGCAAGGGACGAAAGCUAGGGGCACGAACCGGAUUAGAUACCCGGGUAGUCCUAGCCGUAAACGAUACUCGCUAGGUGUCAGCCACGGUGCGACCGUGGUUGGUGCCGUAGGGAAGCCGUGAAGCGAGCCACCUGGGAAGUACGGCCGCAAGGCUGAAACUUAAAGGAAUUGGCGGGGGAGCAC